rnacentral:rRNA from 1 species
GAUGAACGCUAGCUACAGGCUUAACACAUGCAAGUCGAGGGGUAACGAGAGGAAAGCUUGCUUUCCUUGUCGACGACCGGCGCACGGGUGAGUAACGCGUAUCCAACCUGCCCCCAACUAGGGAAUAACCUUGCGAGAGUAAGACUAAUACCCUAUAAUUUCCUCAGAUGACAUCUGACGAGGAAUAAAGAUUUAUCGGUUGUGGAUGGGGAUGCGUCUGAUUAGCUUGUUGGCGGGGUAACGGCCCACCAAGGCAACGAUCAGUAGGGGUUCUGAGAGGAAGGUCCCCCACAUGGGAACUGAGACACGGUCCAAACGCCUACGGGAGGCAGCAGUGAGGAAUAUUGGUCAAUGGGCGGAAGCCUGAACCAGCCAAGUAGCGUGCAGGAUGACGGCCCUAUGGGUUGUAAACUGCUUUUAUACAGGAAUAAAGUUAGCCACGUGUGGUUAUUUGUAGGUACUGUAUGAAUAAGGACCGGCUAAUUCCGUGCCAGCCGCCGCCGUAACAC